rnacentral:rRNA from 1 species
UACGUAGGGGGCAAGCGUUGUCCGGAUUUAUUGGGCGUAAAGCGCGCGUAGGCGGCAAGGUAUGUCGUGCGUGAAAUCUCCCGGCUUAACUGGGAGGGCCGUGCGAAACUGCCUGGCUUGAGGUCGGAAGGGGAAAGUGGAAUUCCGGGUGUAGUGGUGGAAUACGUAGAUAUCAAGAGGAACACCUGAGGUGAAGACGGGUGCUGGGCCAACACUGACGCUGAUGCGCGAAAGCCAGGGGAGCAAACGGGAUUAGACUACC